CCCUAUGGGGUGCAGCAGGCGCGAAAACUUGGCAAUGCGAGAAAUCGUGACCAGGGAACUCCAAGUGUCUAGGUUAAUACCUAGUCUUUUCUUGACUCUUCAAAGGUCUUGGAAUAAGGGGUGGGUAAGGACGGUGCCAGCCGCCGCGGUAAUACCGGCGCCUCAAGUGGUAGUCGCUUUUAUUGGGCCUAAAACGUCCGUAGCCGGUUUGGUACAUUCGUGGGUAAAUCAAUCCGCUCAACGGAUUGAAUUCUGCGAGCACGGCCAGACUUGGGACCGGGAGAGGUGUGGGGUACUCUCAGGGUAGGGGUAAAAUCCUGUCAUCCUGAGAGGACCACCUGUUGCGAAGGCGCCACACUAGAACGGAUCCGACGGUCAGGGACGAAACCUAGGGGCACGAACCGGAUUAGAUACCCGGGUAGUCCUAGGUGUAAACGCUGUGGACUUGAUGUUGGGGGCGCUCCGAGCGCUUUCAGUGUCGAAGCGAAGGUGAUAAGUCCACUGCCUGGGGAGUACGGUCGCAAGGCUGAAACUUAAAGGAAUUGGCGGGGGAGCACUGCAACCUGAGGAUUGUGCGGUUUAAUUGGAUUCAACGCCGGAAAACUCACCAUAGCCGACGGACAAAUGAAGGCCAGUGUAAUGAACUUGCUGGAUUGUUCGAGAAGAAGUGCAUGGCC
rnacentral:rRNA from 1 species